rnacentral:rRNA from 1 species
GUGAGGAAUAUUGGACAAUGGGCGCAAGCCUGAUCCAGCCAUGCCGCGUGCAGGAAGACGCAUCUAUGGUGUGUAAACUGCUUUUGUACGGGAAGAAACACUCCCUCGUGAGGGAGCUUGACGGUACCGUAAGAAUAAGGAUCGGCUAACUCCGUGCCAGCAGCCGCGGUAAUACGGAGGAUCCAAGCGUUAUCCGGAAUCAUUGGGUUUAAAGGGUACGUAGGCGGUUUAAUAAGUCAGUGGUGAAAGCCCAUCGCUCAACGAUGGAACGGCAAUUGAUACUGUUAGACUUGAAUUACAAGGAAGUAACUAGAAUAUGUAGUGUAGCGGUGAAAUGCUUAGAUAUUACAUGGAAUACCAAUUGCGAAGGCAGGUUACUACUUGUGGAUUGACGCUGAUGGACGAAAGCGUGGGGAGCGAACAGGAUUAGAUACCCUGUAGUCC